rnacentral:lncRNA from 1 species
CAAUUUCUAAAUUAUCUGUCGUCCAUUUCCUAAUUUGUUGAUUUAGAUACAUUUGUUGAAAAGAUAUUUCAAAUUAUCUGCCAAAGUAAAUGGUGAGCUUCCACUCCAUCUACAACUUGGCAUCCCUUGCUAUCAGCAACUUGGCAGAAGAGCUUGCAAAACUUGAUCAGAUCUUUAGCUUAUUUUGUUUUCUUAGCUUGCUGG